AGGGUUUGAUUAUGGCUCAGGAUGAACGCUGGCGGCAUGCCUAAUACAUGCAAGUCGAACGGACUACACCUUGAACCUGAAGUGCUUGCACAGAAGGGAAUUGGAUUAUGUAGUCAGUGGCGGACGGGUGAGUAACACGUGGGUUACCUGCCACACAGUAUGGAAUAACUAUUGGAAACGAUAGCUAAUACCGUAUAUGACCUUCGGGUUGAAAGGAGCGUUUGCUUCGCUGUGUGAUGGGCCUGCGGUGCAUUAGCUAGUUGGUAAGGUAAAGGCUUACCAAGGCGACGAUGCAUAGCCGGACUGAGAGGUCGAUCGGCCACAUUGGGACUGAGACACGGCCCAAACUUCUACGGAAGGCAGCAGUAGGGAAUUUUCCGCAAUGGACGAAAGUCUGACGGAGCAAUGCCGCGUGAGUGAUGAAGGUUUUCGAAUCGUAAAGCUCUGUUGUAAGGGAAGAAUAGCAAGUGUAGGAAAUGACAUUUGUCUGACGGUACCUUACCAGAAAGCCACGGCUAACUACGUGCCAGCAGCCGCGGUAAU
rnacentral:rRNA from 1 species